UUUUCACCUUUUCUAUCACUGAUCUGUUUACAUAAUCCUCAAUAAUUAGCAACAUUAAUGAUUUAUUGAGAAGGGUAAUUAAAGACAACAAUUUCCAUAAGUAUAAAAUAUAAAUGUUGUUCAUGUAGAGUGUCAACUAAAAUGUCAGAGAAUUGGAUCAAUAAAAUUUUGAAGUGUUUAUGAGCUUAAAUUUUCAAUGAAAGUGGAAGAUUCCAUCAGCUUCCGUUUAGAAAUAUUUGAAAGAAUUUUGCAUCUUGGUAGGUAAGGGCUUUGAAUAAGCCUGAACUAAUAAAUGCGAGCUCUUAUGGGUUUUAGUUAACUCUCAAUCUUCGUGCAAGACUUACAAGUUGGUGUUUCGUUUUUUGAUUUUUCUACGAGUGCAUCAUUUUACUCGAUAAAGUUUAUUUAAUAUACUUAUUUAUUAUUAAUUUUGUAUCGAUAAUAUAAAAUUUUAUAUUUUUUUAUGUGAUAUUAUACUAUUUCUGACGCAAUAUAAUAAUUUUUAAUAUAAAAUUAUUAAUAAAUAAACAUAUUAAUUUAAUAAAUAUAAUGUUGUAUUCAUUAGAAAAAAUCGAUUUCUUUAUUAAGUUUUACAUCUUUAAGAGAUUUCUUUUCCUUUACGAUGAGGAUACAUAUAUAAUAUACAAAGAUCUAUAAAGAGAGAGAGAGAGCGAGAGAGA
rnacentral:misc_RNA from 1 species